rnacentral:rRNA from 1 species
UAGGGAAUUUUGGACAAUGGGCGAAAGCCUGAUCCAGCAACGCCGCGUGCGCGAUGAAGGCCUUCGGGUUGUAAAGCGCUUUUAGAGGAGAUGAGAAAGGACAGUAUCCUCUGAAUAAGCCUCGGCGAACUACGUGCCAGCAGCCGCGGUAAAACGUAGGAGGCUAGCGUUAUCCGGAUUUAUUGGGCGUAAAGCGUGUGCAGGCGGUUUGGUAAGUUGGAUGUGAAAGCUCCUGGCUUAACUGGGAGAGGUCGUUCAAAACUGCCAGACUAGAGAAUGGGAGAGGGAGAUGGAAUUCCGGGUGUAGUGGUGAAAUGCGUAGAUAUCCGGAGGAACACCAGUGGCGAAAGCGGUCUCCUAGACCAUUUCUGACGCUUAAACACGAAAGCUAGGGUAGCAAACGGG